rnacentral:rRNA from 1 species
UGGGGAAUAUUGCACAAUGGGGGAAACCCUGAUGCAGCGACGCCGCGUGAACGAAGAAGGUAUACGUAUCGUAAAGUUCUGUCCUAUGGGAAGAUAAUGACAGUACCAUAGAAGAAAGCCCUGGCUAAAUACGUGACAGCAGCCGCGGUAAUACGUAUGGAGCGAGCGUUGUCCGGAAUUAUUGGGCGUAAAGGGUACGCAGGCGGUUUAAUAAGUCGAAUGUUAAAGAUCGGGGCUUAACCCCGUAAAGCAUUGGAAACUGAUAAAAUUGAGUGGUGGAGAGGAGAGUGGAAUUCCUAGUGAAGUGGUGAAAUACGUAGAUAUUAGGAGGAAUACCAGUAGCGAAGGCGACUUUCUGGACACAAACUGACGCUGAGGUACGAAAGCGGGGGGAGCAAACAGG